rnacentral:sRNA from 1 species
GCCAGGUGGGGUCGCGCAUGCCUAUAAUCCCAGCAACUCAGGAGGCUGAGGCAGGAGGAUCGUAAAUUCUAGGUCAGCCUGGGUUACUUAGAAAAACCCUGUCUCAA